GCCGGGCACGGUGGUGCGUGCCUGUAGUCCCAGCUACUAAGGAGGCUGAGGCUGAGGAUCUCUUGAGCCCAGGAGUUCUGGGGCUGUUGUGCGCUAUGCUGAUCAGGUGUCCGCACUAAGUUCGGCAUCAAUAUGGUGACCUCCCGGGAGCGGGGGACCACCAGGUUGCCUAAGGAGGGGUGAACCGGCCCAGGUCAGAAAUGGAGCAGGUCAAAACUCCUGCGCUCAUCAGUAGUGGGAUUGUGCCUGUGAACAGCCACUGCACUCCAGCCUGGGCAACACGGGCAGACCCUGUCUCUU
rnacentral:SRP_RNA from 1 species